rnacentral:rRNA from 1 species
GGGCUGCAGUCGAGAAUCUUUUGCAAUGCCCGAAAGGGUGACAAUGCGACGCCGCGUGAGUGAUUAAGGCCUUCGGGUUGUAAAGCUCUGUCAGCUUGGAUGAAAGCAGGAGGGUUAAUAACCUUUUUGUCUGACGGUACAAGCAGAGGAAGCCACGGCUAACUCCGUGCCAGCAGCCGCGGUAAUACGGAGGUGGCAAGCGUUGUUCGGAUUUACUGGGUGUAAAGGUCAUGUAGGCGUCUUAUUAAGUCGGGUGUGAAAUCCCUUGGCUCAACCAAGGAACUGCAUUCGAUACUGGUAGGAUUGAGUACGAGAGAGGUAAGCGGAAUUCCAGAAGUAAGGGUGAAAUCUGUAGAUAUCUGGAAGAACACCAUUAGCGAAGGCGGCUUACUGGCUCGAUACUGACGCUGAAAUGAGAAAGCUAGGGGAGCAAACAGGAUUAGAUACCCGUGUAGUC